rnacentral:rRNA from 1 species
GGGGCUUCGAGCCCCUUGAAGGGUCGUUCAAGACCAGGACGUUGAUAGGUCAGGUGUGGAAGCGCAGUAAUGCGUUAAGCUAACUGAUACUAAUUGCCCGUAAGGCUUGAUCCUAUAACAGGUGUGUUU